rnacentral:rRNA from 19 species
GCAGAGAGGUCACACCCGUUCCCAUACCGAACACGGAAGUUAAGCUCUCUAGCGCCGAUGGUAGUUGGGACCUUGUCCCUGUGAGAGUAGGACGUCGCCAAGCA